rnacentral:rRNA from 1 species
UACGGGGGGGGCAAGCGUUGUUCGGAAUUACUGGGCGUAAAGGGCUCGUAGGCGGCCAACUAAGUCGGAUGUGAAAUCCCCAGGCUUAACCUGGGAACUGCAUCCGAUACUGGAUGGCUUGAAUCCGGGAGAGGGAUGCAGAAUUCCGGGUGUAGCGGUGAAAUGCGUAGAUAUCUGGAGGAAUACCGGUGGCGAAGGCGGCAUCCUGGACCGGCAUUGACGCUGAUGAGCGAAAGCUAGGGGAGCAAACGGG